CCUACGGGUGGCUGCAGUAGGGAAUAUUGGGCAAUGGUCGGAAGACUGACCCAGCCAUGCCGCGUGCAGGAAGAAGGAGCUAAGCUUUGUAAACUGCUUUAGCAGGGGAAGAAAAGGCGUCUGCGGACGAGAUUGACGGUACCCUGAGAAUAAGCACCGGCUAACUACGUGCCAGCAGCCGCGGUAAUACGUAGGGUGCGAGCGUUGUCCGGAUUUAUUGGGUUUAAAGGGUGCGUAGGCGGCCUAUUAAGUCAGUGUUAAAAUACGUCAGCUUA
rnacentral:rRNA from 1 species